rnacentral:rRNA from 1 species
AACGAACGCUGGCGGCAUGCCUAAUACAUGCAAGUCGAACGAGAUCUUCGGAUCUAGUGGCGCACGGGUGCGUAACGCGUGGGAAUCUGCCCUUGGGUUCGGAAUAACGUCGGGAAACUGACGCUAAUACCGGAUGAUGACGUAAGUCCAAAGAUUUAUCGCCCAAGGAUGAGCCCGCGUAGGAUUAGCUAGUUGGUGGGGUAAAGGCCCACCAAGGCGACGAUCCUUAGCUGGUCUGAGAGGAUGAUCAGCCACACUGGGACUGAGACACGGCCCAGACUCCUACGGGAGGCAGCAGUAGGGAAUAUUGGACAAUGGGCGAAAGCCUGAUCCAGCAAUGCCGCGUGAGUGAUGAAGGCCUUAGGGUUGUAAAGCUCUUUUACCCGGGAUGAUAAUGACAGUACCGGGAGAAUAAGCCCCGGCAAACUUCGUGCCAGCCGCCGCAGUAA